AAUUGUAAGCGAAAUACUCGGACUUAUUGAAACGAAAUUCAAUCAUGAAGUCAUUAAUACUAUCUUUCCUCAUGUUGGCUAUUGUCAUUGGAUUGGUAUCAUGCAGUCCGCGAAAACCAAGACGAAAACCGUGCGUUGAAACUCCCGUCGGACAAGUGUGUCCCGGCAGUGGCUAGGAAAGAACGACAAGUCCCCUGACGAAGAUCAAACUCACCGGCGGAUAUUCCCACCUUCAUGGAAAUAAAAUAUAAUGAAACCAGAUGAUUGUCAUUAUUUAUUCAAUACCUGUUCAUCAUUUUUUGUGCGAUUAGCAGGAAAACCCAAGUGCAAUUAAAGUUAUCGAUCAUGCAUCGGCAUUGGAUCCCAAUAAGUGUUCAGCAGCGGGGAUUCCCCUGUUUAUUUGACUGGCCAGGUAAAUUCUUCGAAAAAAUAUUGAUUGGCUUCAACGAUUCUAUUUAAAUCGAGUAAUCAUCUAGGAGGGUUCAUACCAGCUUCAGCUAUUGAGUCAAAGACUUCGUGAUUUUUCUCAGGGAAAAGUGUAAUUAUGACAAUGAAAUUAUUUCAAUUAGUUGUUGUCACGGUGACAGUUGUCAUCUGCUUGGUGUCAUAUACCCAAGCAGCACCUCCACCCAUAUAUUGUGAUCCAUUCCGUGGAUGUCAUGGAGACUAGCUCAGUGGAACACUGGAUGAAGUAUUGAAGCUAUGGAGUCGACUUGGCUGUUUCGAGAUAACUUUUUCAUAAAAUUUUCCAACUAUAAGAGAACUUCACCGACGGAGAUGAAUGAAUAAUUAAAACGAUACUCUCUUUUUUCAAUCAAUCCCAGAAAAUUUGUCAGAAUUUAUUUACAACCGCCAACCUAAUUUGAUGAAUUAAAUAUACUACACAUGUUCCCGUCACAUUUAAUAUCGUCACUGCUAAACAAAAAGCAUUUUGCCAUGUACUCAUGUUUAAAAAUGUACAAAUAUAAAUCAAAUUCAUUGCAA